UGGGGAAUAUUGGACAAUGGGCGAAAGCCUGAUCCAGCCAUGCCGCGUGUGUGAAGAAGGUCUUCGGAUUGUAAAGCACUUCAAGUUGGGAGGAAGGGCAGUAAGCGAAUACCUUGCUGUUUUGACGUUACCGACAGAAUAAGCACUGGCUAACUCUGUGCCAGCAGCCGCGGUAAUACAGAGGGUGCAAGCGUUAAUCGGAAUUACUGGGCGUAAAGCGUGCGUAGGUGGUUCGUUAAGUUGAAUGUGAAAGCCCCGGGCUCAACCUGGGAACUGCAUCCAAAACAGGCGAGCUAGAGUAGGGCAGAGGGUGGUGGAAUUUCCUGUGUAGCGGUGAAAUGCGUAGAUAUAGGAAGGAACACCACUGGCGAAGGCGACCACCUGGGCUCAUACUGACACUGAGGUGCGAAAGCGUGGGGAGCAAACAGG
rnacentral:rRNA from 1 species